CCAAAACGCCGUAGAAGGUCUGGAGAAAGCUGGUUUUUCAUAUUUUUACAUCAUAUCAAGAAAACGAACUGAAUCGUGGAAAGGAGAAAAUUCAAGAAUAGUCCCUGAAUUUCUACGACUUUUGCAAAUUAGUCCAGGUAAGUUCAUAUGGAAAAGUUCAAUGUUUUGAUAUGAAAAUCUUAUGAUUGUUAAAGUAUUUUAUUGUUGAUGAAUACUAUCAAUUUGCAUUAACUAAUGAAUAAUGUGUAACUAAAAGUACAAAUUAGUAGGAACAAUGGAUUUGAGUGCUUCUAUUCUGUGACCCUGAUGAAUUGACGAAAAAUAUGUGAUAAGUGCGCCCGUUUAAGACCAUAGCUGGGCUAUGGCAUCGGUGCAAUGUGAUAAUGUGACUCCGUAUAAGACCAUAGCUGGGCUAUGGCAUCGGUAUAAUGUGAUAAUGAAGCACUCAAUUCCCUUAUUGUUCCUUAAUUUGACAAUGAAGUAAAUGAGAAAUGGGCCUAAGGGAGUUAAAUUGUGAGUAGCCAUAUGGAAAUUAUUCCAAUGAGUUAUUAAUGAAAUUGUGAUUUGGAGGAUGAAAUAGUUAAACUAAUAGAUAUAUGAUUGUGUACGAUAUUUGAUAUGAUUUGUGUUUAUAUGCCUAUGAGCUUACUAAGCUUCAAUAAGCUUACUUGUGUGUGUUUAAUAUUUUUAUGUAGAUUGACUUGAAGUGAAGUGGGUAGAUCGGAUCAACACAACAGGGCACACUAUUCAGAUCAAUUCUGGUAGUUUUUGUUUUAUGUUUAAAGAUUUAUAUGGCAUGUAUAGAGUUUGAAUGAAUUGAAGUAAAGAUGUUAUGAACUAGUUAACAAUAUUUGUACUAAAACAGUUUUUGGUAAGGAGCAGUAGUUUGACUUUGAAAAUUC
rnacentral:lncRNA from 1 species